UGCUGAGCUCCUGGUGAGGUCUCCUGGCCUUGAACAAGGCUGUUACUACUGCCUUGCGCCUGGUGGAAUUACCUGACUUGAUCCGUAAUUGGACUUCUUCCUUUCCCAAGGCCACAUCAUGCUGGUGACUCAGGCUCGUCUUGUGAUCAACUAAUACCUCCAGGCCUUUCUUGUUCACUGUCAUUCUCAGUUAGCUGGUUCCCAGGGCGUAGCAGAAGCACUGGAAACAUAAGAUAAAGCUAUGAGGAAUGGCCCUUCCUUUCUGCAUAAACUUUUUCCUGGGGAGUUCCCAGUGAUAAAAGACUCCCUGGCUGCCUUGCACCAGUCCUGCUCUUCAGAGAGUGCUGCCUGGCAGAGAUUCACCCUGGACAAGGGUGGUGAAAAUGCCUGAUUCCUGCUUCUCCUUGUCCUGCCUGACCUGCCAAUAUCCAGACUGAGCAAAAUGGGAAUAUGGAUUUGAACUCCUUUGGUGUUUGGGGACACUCUGAAGCUUGUCCCCGUUGCUGAAGCUCCACUUGCAGCACACACCUUCCCAAUGUAUUUUUGUCUGCAUGCACCUGAGUUGCCUCCCAGCAAGAGCAGUCAUGAACAGAAGUACCACAGCAGAUGAGAAAGAAACAGUGAUCUAGAGCUGGACCAACAGGAAGAAAGUCCAUGUCCUUGGGGAGCUGUUGCCAGACUGGUGGAUCUUCUGAAGUCUCUCUUGAAGUUCUACUGUACCUAGGUGAAAAGAGAAGGACUAUGCUGGGCUACUGAAAGCCUAUGUGGAAUCUGGAAUAUAUCUGGUGCAAACAUCAUUUCAGCAUUCUCCUACGCAAGAGAUGAUGAAACCUCCUCAGAUGAGAGCCUGUGUAAAUACAUAUCAUGCCUCAGCUAGGCAAACAGAUGAAGGAACGUUGUUUUUAGAAGCUCCAGAUGAUGGCCAAGAUCCUGUAAUGUGAUUAUUGUGAGCAGAGACGUACACCCAUCUGCAAUCCAACUAAUUCAUCCUCUGCAGCUCCACUGCAGGAUCGGGGCCCAGUUCUGCGCAGCCAGCAAUGCCGUCUGCAAUUCUGGAAAGCUGUGCAAAACGGGAAAGGCUGAGCCUGGUGCCCCUUAAACAGGUGGGAAGGCACCUGGACAUGAGGAAACCUACCAUCCACGCUGAGACGAUUCUUUUUCAGUCAAAUGUAUUUUGCCUGCAUGGCGACAGUCGGUAUCUCUUGAUGUGCAAAAUACCUGGCUCGCUGCUAAUCUCUGCGUAUGGCACUUGUUUUAAAACCUCUCAAGUCAAAGGGUGGCCCUUCCACUGAGGUGAGCGGGGUUCGUCCCCAUCUGUACCACUGACAGUCACCUCUUAGUGAUUCUUUCUGAAGCAUUUUCUUUGCACUAAGCACAGAGAGCAGCAGGGCAGGUGCCAGCACCAAGCCUGGCACCACGGUCGCGAAAGAGGAAGCGUCCUA